AAAAUGUGAAAGUAUCAUAUGCCUAAUUUAUUUUAAAAGAUUCUGUAUAUAAGUGAAUAUAUCCAAAGAAAUAUCUGUCAAUUUAGUGGGCAAUUUCCCUAAAAUUAGAAGGCAAAAAGCAAUUAAUUGUUGAAAUUACUAUAUCCUUCCAAAAGGUUAAGAGGUAAUUUAAAAUAAGUACCUAUAAGAAUAUUAAUUGAGUUACUAUGUCCCCCUUACAGGCAAUAAUAUUAAUGAUUCAGUAAUUAGAUUUUUUUCUAUUAGGAGGAACAGGAAAUGAAAAUAUCGGGAAAAACAUAUUUAAUGAUAUUCCAUUUUUUCAGCAUAGUGAAUCAUGAAAUUUAUUUUGUCCACACUUUUGAAUUCCCUGGCAAAGAGAACUCUUAAGGAAGAAAUGUUCUCUAUCAGUGCAAAUAGGUAACUGGUUUUUUGCAACUUACAGUUUUAGAGAUAAUUGACUGAAGCACUCAGUGGCUAAGUGAUGAGCUCAUAGUAACAUCACCAAUAUGUGUCAGAGGUCUGAAGUGAAGUCUUCCUGACUCCUAUGUAGGUCAACUCAUUGCCCACUAUGUCAUGCAUUCUCUCUACAUAAAUACCCUUUAAUAAUAUUUAUUCUUAUCAAGUCAUUGAAACUUAUAAAAGGUCACAAUAAGCUAUAGUUAAGUUAUAGAUUUAAAAUAGAUUAUGAUGUUGUUCAUCUAUGUAGGUAUAAAUCAAAUCAGGCCAAAUUGUAAUUUUUGUCUUCAACUCUAUACCUUUUCUUGCUAUUUCCUUUAGCUUCAUUCAACAUUCUCUUUGACAGCCUACAGUUCAAGAAUCUAGCACUCAACGGUUAUCCCUUAGCUGUCCAGUGAUUCCUAACUCUAUAUUUCAUUUGGCCCUUCCUUCCCCCAAGUCUCCUUAGUAAAGCAUGAUUUCUUAUGUGUUUCAUUUCUGCAAAUCCCUGCUUAGUAAUUAAAAUCAACUUUAUCAAUUAAUUUUACUAAAAUAAUAGGAGUUUUACAUAUUACCUCUUUGUAAUGGUUUCCAUUAUAUAAUAAUUUUAAAAAGCAAUAACAUGCUUUAAAAAGCCUCAAACUAUCUGAGCACUAUAUCUACAAACCUAGAAACUAAAAUAUUAAAUUAGUUUGAGGCAUUUUAAGGGAUGGGGGCAUAGGAGCAAAGGAUAUUUUCAUUUUAAAUAUAUUAAUUUAGGAGCGAGAUAAGAUCAAAACAGGCUUUCACUUCAUUUAUACUUUGAAAAUAAAAUAGAACAAAAUAAGAACAUAAAUCAUUAACAGAAUUUCACAUUGUAUAAUUUUUUGAAAGAUAAAAUUAUAGAACAUUUUAAAGCUACAAAUAGCUAUGUACAGACUGGUACUUCUUUGACCAUAUUUCAACUAUUAAUCACUUUCUCUAACAGGGUAAAGUAGAAAAUUUUUACUCUCCUAAAUUUUUCAUAUAAAUUUCAUCAGAAGGCUUCCAGGGUAAAUGCACUGCUAUCACUGCCCUGGGCUUCAAAAUAUCUUGGCUUCACAUCAAAUCUUUCCACUUUUGCAGACCCACUCUGAUGCUUUGAUUAGUCAGUUGCACCUGCUUGGGGGCCUUGUAAAGCUUCAGGCAUUGUCAAAAUCUCUUAAAUAACUCUAUCUUAUCUGAGAGAAAGCAUUGGCCUCCUACUGUCCAUUCCAAUUUCUUAUAUAAAUGACUGGAGGGGAAAUUUAACCUUUUGCUCCAUGGUAUCUUCUGUUUGGUAGCUUGGACUUCAAAUUGCUUCUUUAACCUUGCAGGAUUUCAUUAUUUCCUUGCCAAACAAAAAAAGAAAGGAAGGAAGGAAGGAAGAAAGGAAGGUGUUAUGCCAUAGUUCUCUUUUAUUGUCCUGACUCAGUUUCCCUAAUUAUCCUGACUCAGUCCUGCCUGUUUCCCUGCUUCUCAGCUCUGCAAAACCUCCCCUCCCUCUUUAUCAGAAUACUUGAUAAGGAUAAAAGAUCUUAUAUUUUAGAAUAUCAGAAUGCCUCUCCCCAUCCCAAGCUAUUAGGAUAUUAGAUACUGUCUUAUCAAGAUGCCUCUCCCCAUGUCCCCUGAUUAUGUCAGCCCCCUCUCCCGAGGCUCACCCCACCCUGUCAGAAUCCUGUUCUAGCUCUCAGUACCCUGACUCCACCCCUGCCUCAGUCUACCCCCAGAGUCUGAACCAUGUGUAUAUAUGUCAUUGAGAAUUCUGAUUGUUUGCUGGAUUCUUGGAGACUAUAGUCAGCCCGGACCAAACCAUGGAUCCAUUUGAUCCCAGUAAAUCUCUCCAUUUAAUAAAGUAUUAAAUACUCUCUAAUCUCUAUCUUGCUCAGUUUCUCCAGCAUUACAAAGGAAGGAAGAAGCAAAGAAAGAAACAAAGAAAGGAAAGAAAGAAAGAAAGAAAGAAAGAAAGAAAGAAAGAAAGAAAGAAAGAAAGAAAGAAAGAAAGAAAGAAAGAAAGAAAGAAAAGGAAGGAAAGAAGGAAAGGGAGGGAGGGAGGGAAGAAUUAAGGAAAAGAGAGAGAAGGAAGAAGAGAGGGAGGGAAGGAAGGAGAGAGGAAAGGAGAAAGGAAAAACAAGCAAGAAAAAAAAAGUGCCAGAAAUUGUUAACUGCUUUGCAAUCAAUAUCUUAUUUCAUUCUUAUACCAGCCAUAAGACAUAGAUGUUAUUAUUAUUCUCAUUUUAGAGAAGAGAAAACUGAAGCAAAAGUUAAGUGACUUACUUAGUGUCACAUAACUAGCAAGUGCCUGAGGCUGGAUUUGAAUUUCACUGCAAUACCUCUCAGACUGUGAAAAAAUAAGUUUAGAGGAAAAGUGAAUAGUAUGAUAAUCUGUCUAAAUUUACCCUUUAAAAAAAAAUCUAAUUCCAAUGUCUGUCCCAUUCCACGUGGCUGCCUAAAUUUCUCUCUGGGAGUGCCGAUAACCUACCUGAAGUCCUUCCUCCAUUUUUAGCAUACCCCCAUCUUUAACAUUCUCUCCAUCCCAGAGCUUCGGAUCCAUUUCCCACCUUUGCUGUAGAGACUGCUGCUCAGUGGCAUUUAAUAGCUGUCUGAAGUUGUCAGUCUCAGUCAAAUUGGAUCCUUGUGUUCUACUCUUGCCCUGCCAAUCCCCAGGCUUUGGAUGCCUUUUACCACGCGCUGCAUUUGUUCCUAUUCACACACUGCAGAAGGAACCUGGAGAAAAUCACCGAGCCUUGCUGACUGAGUCAUCUAAAAUUGGUGUUCAUAAUCUGAACUGGGUCCUCAGCACAUCGAGAUCUUUUCUUUUCCACAUGAAUUUUGUUAUUACUUCAUCAAGUUGUCACCUAGAGAUAAAAAAUUUUCAUUAAGAACUGCUUUGACUGCAACCCAUAAGUUUUG